GAAAACAACGUAGGUAAGGGAAGUUAGCUAAAAAGAUCCGUAACAUCGGGAUAAGGAUUGGCUCUAAGGGCUGGGUCGGUCAGGCUGGGGUGCGAAGCGAGGCUGGUCUCAAGCCGUGGCUGGUGGAGCAGUCGCUCCAUUGCCCUCCUCUCACCACCAUUGGAAGUUAUACCGGUGGGGGGGUUGGGUCCGGCGGUUGGCGGCGGCAACUCUGGACGUACGCCGGGCCCUUCUCGCGGAUCUCCCCAGCUAUGGCACUCGCCAGCCCCAUACAUUGUAGGUGGGGAGGUCUCCUCUACGCUCACUAGACUCAAGGCGGAGACUAAACCCAUUGGCCCCGCAGUGAUGGGGCAUUGCAUGGAUCAGGCUCAUGCCCUACGAACUGGGGAGAGGUAUCUCCAUCUUGUCUGGGGAGGGAGGCCUACAUCUGAUGUGGGUAGUACCAUCCACGCCCAUUGAUUUUUCUGCAGAACCAUAAAAAUGGAUGGAAGAAGCCUAGGUUCCCACUGGGCACGGAUCACUGAAUGUUAACUUGAUGAAAUUCAAAAGGAGCGUACCUACCUGUCGGGGUCACACUCAAAUCACCCGUGGGGUAACUGUGACCCCAUCAUGUCAAAGUAAGGAAAUUCGAUGAAGCGGGGGUAAAAGGCGGCACAUAAUUAAGAGUCUCUUGAGGUAGCCAAACGCCUCGUCAUCUAAUUAGUGACCCGCAUGAAUGGAUGAAUGAGAUUCCCACUGUCCCUACCUACUAUCUAGCAAAACCACAGCCAAGGGAACGGGCUUGACGGAAUCAGUGGGGAAAGAAGACCCUGUUGAGCUGGACUCUAGUCUGGCACUGUGAAGAGACAUGAGAGGUGUAGAAUAAGUGGGAGGCCCCGGCCGCCGGUGAAAUACCAUUGCUCUUAUCAUUUUUCGCGCUGGGUGCGACCCGCUCCGGGGACAGUGGCAGGUGGGGAUUUUGACUGGGGCGGUACACCUGUCAAACGGUAACACAAGUGUCCUAAAGCGAGCUUAGGGAGGACAGAAACUUCCCAUGGAGCAGAAGGGCAAAAGCUCUCUUGAUCUUGAUUUUCAGUAUGAAUAAAGACCGUGAAAGCGAGGCCUCAUGAUCCUGCUGAAUUUUUGGCUUGAAAGCAGGAAGUUUCAGAAAAGUUACCACAAUGAUAACUGGCUUGUGGCGGCCAAGCGUUAAUAGCGACGUCGCUUUUUGAUCCUUCGAUGUUGGCUCUUCCUAUCAUUGCGAAGCAGAAUUCACCAAGCGUUGGAUUGUUCACAAACUAAUAGGGAACGUGAGCUGGGUUUAGACCAUCGUGAGACAGGUUCGUUUUACCCUACUGAUGAUGUGUUGUUGCAAUAGUAAUCCUGCUCAGUACGAGAGGAACUGCAGGUUCAGACAUUUGGUGUAUUUGCUUGGCUGAGGAGCCAAUGGUGCGACGCUACCAUCUGUGGGAUUACGAAUGAAUGCCUAUAAGUAGCGCAGCGGCUCUUCGGUUGGCCCGGGAUAGCCUGCCUCUUUUGGCAGGUGAGUAGAGCCGUUUGUGACCGGGUUGGGGUGUUGCCGCCCCUCAACUGAUGCGCACCGCAUGUUUGUGGGGAACCUGGUGCUAAGUCACUCGUAGAUGACCUGAUUCGCUGUGAUCU
rfam:Salmo salar isolate Sally breed double haploid chromosome ssa11, whole genome shotgun sequence.